rnacentral:misc_RNA from 1 species
AACGCACCUUGCGCUCCUUGGAAUUCUGAGGAGCAUGCCUGUUUGAGUGUCGUGAAACCCUCAAACCUCGUCUUUACUUUGUCGAGGCUUUGGAUUGUGGAGAGUGCUGGAAAAAGACUAUUUUCCAGCUCCUCUGAAAUACAUCAGCUUUUGCCCACAGGAAAACUGCUUAGCAUGCUGGUUUGAUAAUCUUUUGUCUACGCCAUUAGCUAUUUGCGGAAUAAAACUUUCCUUGUUUGGUGCAGAAUUUGCUCUACAAGCGCAUAUGCGUAUCUUGACCUUUGACCUCAAAUCAGGUAAGACUACCCGCUGAACUUAA